AAAAAAACACAGGUUUAAAAUGGGCU
rnacentral:siRNA from 1 species